rnacentral:rRNA from 1 species
AAGUCUCCUGAAGGAACGUUGAAGACGACGACGUUGAUAGGCCGGAUGUGUAAGCGCAGCGAUGCGUUGAGCUAACCGGUACUAAUGAACCGUGAGGCUUAACCUUACAACGCCGAAG